GGAAGAGCUCCGCCCAGUAAGCUUUUCAGCUCCUCGGAGAAUACUGGAUGUGAUGGCACAGGAGCUUAAUGAUGCUGGAUGCGCUGAGCAGUUAUCAGCAUUCUUGUGAUUUGAGUCCAUCUCUGUGGGACAGGUCCUCUCUGGAAAUGGAAUUGGCUCUAUUGAUUCAUCUAUUGGUCUCAUAGG